AGCCUCCGUUUUAGUUGUGAUCAGCUUUGAUCAGCUCUUCAACUUGAGAGUUUGAUCCUGGCUCAGAGCGAACGCUGGCGGCAGGCUUAACACAUGCAAGUCGAGCGGGCCCUUCGGGGUCAGCGGCAGACGGGUGAGUAACGCGUGGGAACGUGCCCUUCGGUUCGGAAUAACUCAGGGAAACUUGAGCUAAUACCGGAUACGCCCUUAUGGGGAAAGGCUUGACUGCCGAAGGAUCGGCCCGCGUCUGAUUAGCUGGUUGGUGAGGUUAUGGCUCACCAAGGCGACGAUCAGUAGCUGGUCUGAGAGGAUGAUCAGCCACACUGGGACUGAGACACGGCCCAGACUCCUACGGGAGGCAGCAGUGGGGAAUAUUGGACAAUGG
rnacentral:rRNA from 1 species